GUUCUUCACUCCGAUCUUGACAAAUCAUUUCGCGGCCGUCGUUCUCUCUUAUUAGUAAAGACGGAGCACGAUUUGGGGAAAUUGAUGAUCUGCCACGGAAUGAACCGCCAAUUCGUGCAUCAGGACCGACACAUUUUUUUUAAUGUAUGGCCAUAUCAAUAAAUUUCCUGCGAAAGAGUCUUAUCGAAAGCAGCACUCCGUUAAUUCAUAUCUUUCGUUUUCAAAUCAAUGAAAUUGCCAUGGGGUUAUUGCAUAUUGAGCAAUAGAGUUACGGCCAUGUUUUCAAAGCUCAAAUUAAUGAAAUUGCCAUGGUUUUGGAGACUGCGAAAACAUUUCCAUGGUUCCCCUCACCAUUUUCGUCCUCGACUGGUGAAAGACAAAUUAUCCAGAGCAAUGGCCUAGCCUUCUUCCUUGGGUCAAACAAAUUUGCAAGAUCGGCAAGUAUAUGCUGCUUUUUAUAUCUUAAGAAUUCUUUCAAGUAAGUAUGAGUAAGAAUUUGUUUUUGGGCCUAUAACUUCUUUAGGCCGAUCGUUGACUCAAGAAAAUUUCAUUGCUAUUCAAACUGUUAGUCUCCAUAUGACUUGAGUAAGUUAGUUGAUGUGUGUAUGUCAAAGUUCAAGUCUGAAUACAAGCGGACUUAUCAUUGAUGAGACAUUUUCCCCUUAAUGUUUUCAACUGCCUUGUUCAAGUUGGAAAUCCGACAUUGGAGAUAGCAGAGCUUAUCAAGCUUAUUUCUAAAAUAUUUUGGUCAUCUAUAUCCGUAUGUAUGCUUUUGCAUUCAGAAUGUACACUUAAUUACUUAUUUUUGACUGCACACUUUCUCACUUGCUGCAAUUUUAGAGGUUGAAUUUAUGUAGUUAUAUGGCCAUGCAGUUAGAGGUGCCCAAUCAACUCUUUGAUCCCCAACAUUUUUAAUGCAUCGAUGGUCCUGUUUUUAGCUAUGUUGGAAAGACCAGUUGCUAAGGAAGGGCAACUAACUAAUCCAGAACAAUGCAAAUCUGGGGAAUGGUGAAAAUUGAAAUGUAAAGAAGUGGACAGUGCAUAUUCUGAAUUGACUAUACACAUGAUUUGGAGAUCCAAAGCUCCUUAAGCCAGAGAACAAGCCUUCUGCUAAAAUGUUUCGGAAGCAUUUUGCAGGGAAAAUUUUAGUGUCAUCUUAACUUGUUGAACGUUAUUUGUCAGGGUGGUUACCUUCCUGAUAGGGAAUUUAUUCAAUUGUGCCUGAACAUUCAGUUUAAACUGCUCUCAGGAGAGAUGAGUAACUGCCAUUACUGGAGGUUAGGCUUUACUAUCUCAGCAAUCAUUACUGCUGGAGUGCUCGCAUUAUUGAUGGUGGAGUGGUCUUAUUUUACGCGUUCCAGGGAGAACUGGAGAGCUAUUAUUAUGAUCGUUCUCUACACCUUCGUCUCUUUAGUGGUUUUAGAUUUGGAGAUCCAAAGCUUCUUAAGCCAGAGAACAAGCCAUUUGCUCAAAUAAUUCAGAAGCACUUUUGCAGCAUUUUCAAGUCCAAUACGUAUCAACUUUUAAAGCCACAACUUGAUAUUGCGCUUUUUGAAAUCAUCUUCCCUCUUGUGUGGCUCAAUGAUAAUGAUGAGUCUGUGGCAUGAAGACCCUCACAAAUAUGUCAGGAAGUGUUGUUGUGGAUUCCUGCCUUUUCUUUUUGUAACAUAGAUAUCAUUUUUUAAUUGUCCAAAAACAACUGUUAUCCUUGAAGUUUUUUUAAAAUCUUUGAGUUUAGAAAAGCUUAACCACUAAGCAAUUUGUGAAAUUCGUUUCUUCUGUAUUGUUUGUUUGGCAAAGCUUUCCUUACAUAAUAUGGGUUGUUGCAAAUAUUAUUGAAGAUAUCUACAGUCUCUGCACUGCAUCCAUUGAUUUCAUUGCAUAGCUAGUACGAAAAUGUGGAAAAGAAAGCCUCCAGAGAUUUCUUCCCUUUGUUAGAAAGCUCAGCUAUGACGAGGCAGCUGCAGGAUACAAACCAUAUGGCAGAAUGAUGGUUUAUCAUUUGGGGCCUUAUGUGAUAAGCUGAAGCAGACUGAGCCAUACAAAUCUCAGCCGGAACAAACCUGAAUCUAGAAGCCAAGUUGAUCAUUUAAGAGCAAAGGUUUGUUUGUUUAUUUUACUUUCUUAUUGACUGUGCAAAAAUAAUAUACAGCAAAAUCUUUGGGCUGUUCUGCACGAUGUAUUUAAAAUAUACUGGAAUCGGGCUUCUAAAGAUGAUAUCUAUUGAAAUAUAUGUAUCAAUGCAUAACAGUGCACCAAAAUUUGUCAGUUUCACAUAAGCGCACAUGCAAUUAAAUAAUAGGUUUAACUGGGCA